GAAUUGCGAAAAGUAGUGUGAAUUGCAUAAUUCCGCGAAUCAUCGAAUCUUUGAACGCACCUUGCACCGGCUGGAAUUCCGGCCGGUAUGCCUGUUUGAGUAUCGCAUUCAACUACCUCUCGGGGUGAUUUGAGCCAAGGAAUUUCCUGGCUUUUAAUGCAUGAGUGGGUGCCUGCCCAAGACCAGAGGUAAUCCGUAAGGAGAAAUCUGGGGCCAAGCUUGUCAUUUCACUAUAAUCAAACUAAUUUAGAUCUCAAAUCAAGCAAGACUACCCGCUGAACUUAA
rnacentral:misc_RNA from 1 species